rnacentral:rRNA from 1 species
AACGCUGGCGGCGUGCCUAACACAUGCAAGUCGUACGAGAAAGCCGGCUUCGGCUGGUGAGUAAAGUGGCGCACGGGUGAGUAACGCGUGGAUAAUCUGCCCUUAAGUGUGGAAUAACGUACCGAAAGGUGCGCUAAUACCGCAUAAUGCCUGGCAACACAAGUUGUCCGGCCAAAGAAGGCCUCUGUUUACAAGCUUUCGCUUCAGGAUGAGUCCGCGUACCAUUAGCUUGUUGGUGGGGUAAUGGCCUACCAAGGCUGCGAUGGUUAGCUGGUCUGAGAGGAUGAUCAGCCACACUGGAACUGAGACACGGUCCAGACUCCUACGGGAGGCAGCAGUGGGGAAUAUUGGGCAAUGGGCGAAAGCCUGACCCAGCGACGCCGCGUGGGUGAUGAAGGCCUUCGGGUUGUAAAGCCCUUUCGUGCGGAAAGAACAGUCCUGUGGCGAAUACUCGCAGGAUUUGACGGUACCGCAGGAAGAAGCACCGGCUAACUCCGUG